CCUACGGGUGGCUGCAGUGAGGAAUAUUGGUCAAUGGGAGAGAUCCUGAACCAGCCAAGCCGCGUGAGGGAAGACGGCCCUAUGGGUUGUAAACCUCUUUUGUCGGAGAACAAAACCCGGGACGUGUCCCGGACUGCGUGUAUCCGAAGAAAAAGCAUCGGCUAACUCCGUGCCAGCAGCCGCGGUAAUACGGAGGAUGCGAGCGUUAUCCGGAUUUAUUGGGUUUAAAGGGUGCGUAGGCGGUUCGAUAAGUUAGAGGUGAAAUCCCGGGGCUCAACUCCGGCACUGCCUCUGAUACUGUCGGGCUAGAGUUUAGUUGCGGUAGGCGGAAUGUAUGGUGUAGCGGUGAAAUGCAUAGAGAUCAUACAGAACACCGAUUGCGAAGGCAGCUUACCAAACUACGACUGACGUUGAGGCACGAAAGCGUGGGGAGCAAACAGGAUUAGAUACCCGAGUAGUC
rnacentral:rRNA from 1 species